rnacentral:tRNA from 181 species
GGGGCGGUAGCUCAGCUGGGAGAGCGUCGCGUUCGCAUCGCGAAGGUCGAGGGUUCGAUCCCCUUCCGCUCCACCA